rnacentral:misc_RNA from 1 species
GUUUAUGUACGUAGUUGUGCUACACGUGAGACUCAAGUAGCAGAGUCUCCGUUUUCUGGUUUUAAUUCGACAAACUCUGUUAAAUAUAUCCACAAUAAAACCGAUAAAGCCAGUGAAGGGCUACUAAAAGCAGGCAGCUCUGGUCAAUCAAUAAAACCUGUGCUAGCAACAGAAGUUGAAUGCCUUAUGUGCCAGGCAUUUAU